UAGCGCAAAUGAUGGGCAGGCUAA
rnacentral:piRNA from 1 species